rnacentral:rRNA from 1 species
UUACGGUCAAAUCACGCUGAAACACCGGUUCUCGUUCGAUCCCCGAAGUUAAGCAUCGUAGAGCCAGGUCAGUACUUAGAUGGGGGACCGCUUGGGAACAACUGGUACUGUAAG